CCUGCCUUGGAGAGGGGGAAUAACACUCCGAAAGGAGUGCUAAUACCGCAUGAUGCAGUUGAGUCGCAUGGCUCUGACUGCCAAAGAUUUAUCGCUCUGAGAUGGCCUCGCGUCUGAUUAGCUAGUAGGCGGGGUAACGGCCCACCUAGGCGAUGAUCAGUAGCCGGACUGAGAGGUUGACCGGCCACAUUGGGACUGAGACACGGCCCAGACUCCUACGGGAGGCAGCAUG
rnacentral:rRNA from 1 species